CCCAGCUUAGUGUCAGGAUACUUUCGAUUCAUAAUUAUGUAUGAUCCAAAGUGUGCAUAAUUUCAUUUAACGUUAAAGAAAUAGAUCCAAUUCCUUUCUUGCAACCAAAAAUAAAUAAAAUACGUUGCCUCAAUAUAAGGUUUGGGCUAUUCUGUGUUUCUAUAGAAGCAAUCUGUUUUUGGUAAAAUGUACUUUUAAGGAUCCAGUCAUCUGAAGUAUUUUAUGUAGAGUUAGAGAUUUCACAAUAUUGACUAUACAUAUAUUUAAAAUAUAAAUUAUCCAGCUGAUGUUUGAAUUUGUCUUACUUUCCUGGCCACCUCGUUGUCCUAUUUUAUAAGCUGGGGAGUUAACUAGCUUAACAAAAGAUGCUUAGCUUUUGUAAAAGAACAAGUGUUUCAUUUUACAAAGACACUCCAAAUGAUAGUUACUUGAUUU
rnacentral:lncRNA from 1 species